rnacentral:rRNA from 1 species
GAUGAACGCUAGCGGCAGGCUUAAUACAUGCAAGUCGAGGGACAGCACAGGUAGCAAUACUGGGUGGUAACCGGCAAACGGGUGCGGAACACGUACACAACCUUCCUUUAAGUGGGGGAUAGCCCAGAGAAAUUUGGAUUAAUACCCCGUAAUAUAGUUGAAUGGCAUCAUUUGAUUAUUAUAGCUACGGCGCUUAAUGAUGGGUGUGCGGCUGAUUAGAUAGUUGGCGGGGUAACGGCCCACCAAGUCUACGAUCAGUAGCUGAUGUGAGAGCAUGAUCAGCCACACGGGAACUGAGACGCGGGCCCGACUCCUACGGGAGGAAGAAGUAAGGAAUAUUGGCCAAUGGACGCAAGUCUGAACCAGCCAUGCCGCGUGAAGGAUUAAGGUCCUCUGGAUUGUAAACUUCUUUUAUUUGGGACGAAAAAGGGCCUUUCUAGGUCAACUGACGGUACCAGAUGAAUAAGCACCGGCUAACUCCGUGCCAGCCGCCGCCGUAACAC